rnacentral:rRNA from 1 species
UACGGAAGGCAGCAGUGGGGAAUUUUGGACAAUGGGCGAAAGCCUGAUCCAGCCAUGCCGCGUGCAGGAUGAAGGCCUUCGGGUUGUAAACUGCUUUUGUACGGAACGAAAGACUCCUUCUAAUAAAGGGGUCCAUGACGGUACCGUAAGAAUAAGCACCGGCUAACUACGUGCCAGCAGCCGCGGUAAUACGUAGGGUGCAAGCGUUAAUCGGAAUUACUGGGCGUAAAGCGUGCGCAGGCGGUUAUAUAAGACAGAUGUGAAAUCCCCCGGGCUCAACCUGGGAACUGCAUUUUGUGACUGUAUAGCUAGAGUACGGUAGAGGGGGAUGGAAUUCCGCGUGUAGCAGUGAAAUGCGUAGAUAUGCGGAGGAACACCGAUGGCGAAGGCAAUCCCCUGGACCUGUACUGACGCUCAUGCACGAAAGCGUGGGGAGCAAACAGGAUUAGAUACC